rnacentral:ncRNA from 1 species
AAUAGAGGCGCGGCUGACAAAAGUAGCGUGCGGGAGCCCGGCCGGGGCUGCGAACGCAGGCGAAAGGGGACGCCGCCGAAACGCAUUUGCCGCGGCAGGGCGCCUGCGUUGGGCAAGGGGAGAAUAUCCGCUUGACUGUCAUGGUUCCAGGCCAUGGAGCGCUAUU